rnacentral:rRNA from 1 species
GACGAACGCUGGCGGCGUGCUUAACACAUGCAAGUCGAACGAUGAAGCCCAGCUUGCUCCGCUGGAUUAGUGGCGAACGGGUGAGUAACACGUGGGCAACCUGCCCCAGACUCUGGGAUAACUCCUCGAAAGAGGUGCUAAUACCGGAUACGAACUCCUUGGGCAUCCUCGGAGUUGGAAAGUUUUUCGGUCUGGGAUGGGCCCGCGGCCUAUCAGCUUGUUGGUGGGGGUAGUGGCCCACCAAGGCGACGACGGGUAGCCGGCCUGAGAGGGCGACCGGCCACACUGGGACUGAGACACGGCCCAGACUCCUACGGGAAGCAGCAGUGGGGAAUAUUGCGCAAUGGGCGAAAGCCUGACGCAGCGACGCCGCGUGAGGGAUGACGGCCUUCGGGUUGUAAACCUCUUUCAGCAGGGAAGAAGCGAAAGUGACGGUACCUGCAGAAGAAGCACCGGCUAACUACGUGCCAGCCGCCGCUGUAA